rnacentral:tRNA from 1 species
UGGUAAAGAGAGGAAUUAAACCCCUUUAAAUAGGACUACAGCCUACCACC